UAACAGAAACGUGAACAAGCGCAUAAGGUGAAGCAAUACAGAACCACUCUCAUCUCAUAAGAAGACGACGACGACGACAAUGCAGAAGAACCUUGAGAAAGACAAGAGACCACUGUUCGCACAGGGGGUCAUCUACGACAUGAGUUCGACGGGUGGAUACCACAAAGAUGGUGGUCCUUCGCCAAACCACUUUCAGAGUCCGCGAGCGCCAAUGUACCAGAGAGGAUCUCCAAGAUCUCCAUGGAGACCACUUGACGCCAGUUCACCGAGGUACGCCAACAGCCCUCGUGAUCAACGAAGGUUUUCCGAAGGUCUUUCGCAGUCUUGGAAUUCGCCGCAAGGAAGCAACAGAAUCCAGUGCUACGUCAAGCAGUCCAUGGUGGAAGACCCUUGGGCACAAUUGGAAAGAGAGAUGCUCGUAGUAAAGGCUGACGCAAGUUUUUCAGAGAGUCAGACUUUAGACACAGCUAAGGAUUAGUAGCGAGUGGAACUUAAUUUGUAAAUACUGCUCAAGAAUUACCCAUCACAAUUGCAAAUAUGUACUGUCACCCAACCAUGCCAAUUUAUAAACUUAUUUUGUCUUUCACGA